ACCUUCAUUCCACCAGAAUCUGUAGUGAAUACAUCCGGAUUUGAGUGAAAUGGAGAACA
rnacentral:pre_miRNA from 1 species